UGGGGAAUUUUGGACAAUGGACGAAAGCCUGAUCCAGCAAUGCCGCGUGUGUGAAGAAGGCCUUCGGGUUGUAAAGCACUUUUGUCCGGAAAGAAAUCCUUGGCUCUAAUACAGUCGGGGGAUGACGGUACCGGAAGAAUAAGCACCGGCUAACUACAUGCCAGCAGCCGCGGCAAUACGUAGGGUGCAAGCGUUAAUCGGAAUUACUGGGCGUAAAGCGUGCGCAGGCGGUUUGCUAAGACCGAUGUGAAAUCCCCGGGCUCAACCUGGGAACUGCAUUGGUGACUGGCAGGCUAGAGUAUGGCAGAGGGGGGUAGAAUUCCACGUGUAGCAGUGAAAUGCGUAGAGAUGUGGAGGAAUACCGAUGGCGAAGGCAGCCCCCUGGGCCAAAUACUGACGCUCAUGCACGAAAAGCGUGGGGAGCAAAACAGGAUUAGAUACCCUGGUAGUCCACGCCCUAAACGAUGUCAACUAGUUGUUGGGGAUUCAUUUCCUUAGUAACGUAGCUAACGCGUGAAGUUGACCGCCU
rnacentral:rRNA from 1 species